rfam:Homo sapiens chromosome 1, GRCh38 reference primary assembly.
GCCAGGUGUGGUGGUGCACACCUGUAAUCCCAGCUACCUGGGAGGCUGAGGCAGGGGAAUCGCUUGAACCUGGGAGGCGCAGGUUGUAGUGAGCGAGGUCGCGCCACUGCACUCUAGCCUGGGUGACAGAGGGAGACUUUGUCUCAA